rnacentral:tRNA from 1 species
AAAAAAUUAGUUAAAAUAUAACAUUAGUAUGUCAAACUGAAAUUAUUAUUCUUUAUAAUAUUUUUUA